rnacentral:rRNA from 1 species
GAUGAACGCUGGCGGCGUGCCUAAUACAUGCAAGUCGAGCGAACGGACGAGAAGUUUGCUUCUCUGAUGUUAGCGGCGGACGGGUGAGUAACACGUGGAUAAUCUACUUAUAUGACUGGGAUCACUUCGGGAAACCGGAGCUAAUACCGGAUAAUAUUUUGAACCGUAUGGUUCAAUUGUGAAAGACGGUCUUGCUGUCACUUAUAGAUGGAUCCGCGCUGCAUUAGCUAGUUGGUAAGGUAACGGCUUACCAAGGAAACGAUGCGUAGCCGACGUGAGAGGGUGAUCGGCCACCCGGGAACUGAAACGCGGUCCAGACUCCUACGGGAGGCAGCAGUAGGGAAUCUUCCGCAGUGGUCGAAAGCCUGACGGAGCAGCGCCGCGUGAGUGAUAAAGGUCUUCGGAUCGUAAAACUCUGUUAUUAGGGAAGAACAUAUGUGUAAGGAACUGUGCACAUCUUGACGGUACCUAAUCAGAAAGCCACGGCUAACUACGUG